GCCGGUCCUCUAUCUCUGAGUCAAUAUGUUACGGAAAGUAAGACAAAUAUACGCGGCACUUCAACAACGGACCCUCGUGAAUGCGCUGUUUACUGUCAUCCAGGCAGCUGAACUACCAUGCUAGUUUUGUUGCUUGUCAUCAGCCCCAAGUUUGUCGUGCAUGAGCAACUGAAAUAACUUGUCAAACCAGCUAACUGAGUAUUAUUAGCUAGUUGUUAGCUAGCUAUAUUGAUUAGUAACGUUAAGCAAAAACAACAAAUGAGUAACCACACAUUGCGCUCAAACGGAUCAAGCAUAUGAUGGCCUUCAUUGAACAGGAAGCCAAUGAGAAAGCAGAAGAAAUUGAUGCAAAGACAGAAGUGGAGUUUAACAUUGAAGAGGGCUGUCUGGACCUCAAGAUCAUGGCGUAUUAUGAGAAAAAAAUAAAUUCAGAUCGACCAGCAGAAGAACAUAUGCCUGAGGUUAGAGUGGCUCUUUUCUGUGCCAACCUGAACCGUACAUUUUUAGGAUUAACAGAUGAUGCUGAGGGAGACAAAGGUUAAGGUAUCAUUGGAUGUGCUACUGGGAACAAGCCUCUUAUUUGGACUGGAUAUGAGGAAAGUUGAGCAGAGCCUAGAACACCCGGUCUCUGUGACGCCCAGAAUGUUUGUUUUCUGAGGGAAUGGUUAAACAUGGAAAAGAACACCAUGGUUAUCUCCAUCUUCCCAACUUCAAGCACUUAUCUCUAGGAUCUUCCAAAGUAAGAAACUUGUUUAUGGGACACGAUCUGAGGGAGAAUGUGUGUUGGCUGGUGUUAAGGGUAGUGUAUUAUCCUACCUCCUCAGUUUACCACUGCUCCCUUCCCAGCACUGUGGGUUAUCUGAUUGUAACCUACACUGCAAAACAUAUAUGAAUGCAACAAUUCCCAAAAUUUGACUUAGUUACAGUUCAUAUAAGGAAAUCAGUCAAUUGAAAUAAAUUCAUUAGGCACUAAUUUAUAGAUUUCACAUGACCGGACAUGGGUGCAGCCAUGGGUAGGCCUUGGUAGGCCUUGGAGGGCUGACGUGGUUACAGGUGAUCUGCAGUAGUGAGGCCGGUUGGACGUACUGCCAAAUUCUCUAAAACUACGUUGGAUGCAGCUUAUGGUAGAAAAAUUUACAAAUUCUCUGGCAACAGCUCUGGUG